rnacentral:tRNA from 1 species
GGUGUGCUGGCGCAAUGGUAGCGCGUAGUCCUCCUAAUUCAGUGCGAAGUGGGAACGCAAGACUAAGGCUCAGGGUUCGAGUCCCUGGUAUACCG